rnacentral:SRP_RNA from 2 species
GCUGGGCAUGGUGGCGCAUGCCUGUAGUCCCAGCUACUCGGGAAGCUGAGGCAGGAGGAGCGCUUGAACCCGGGAAGCGGAGAUAGCAGUGAGCCGAGAUCAUGCCACUGCACUCCCACCUGGGUGGCAGAGCGAGACCCUGCCUCAA